UACGGAGGGUGCGAGCGUUAAUCGGAAUUACUGGGCGUAAAGCGCGUGUAGGCGGCUCUGUAAGUCGGAUGUGAAAUCCCACGGCUCAACCAUGGAAGUGCAUUCGAAACUACAGGGCUAGAGUUCUGGAGAGGAAGGUGGAAUGCUUGGUGUAGAGGUGAAAUUCGUAGAUAUCAAGCGGAACACCGGUGGCGAAGGCGGCCUUCUGGACAGUAACUGACGCUGAGACGCGAAAGCGUGGGGAGCAAACAGG
rnacentral:rRNA from 1 species